CAAGAAUUCAAACGUUUGUCCUUAAUUAAAGCUCAUUAACUAUUUGUCUCAUGUUCUAAAGGAUCCAUUUAUAUCAUAUCCUAAAUACUAUUCCGGCCUCUUUUGUAAGCAAAAAUUCCUUUUUGCACACUUAUUAAGGAAUAUCAUUUUUAUUUUAAUCUUAUGUGAUAUUUCGAUUGAAAUUUCUAAAAUGACAUUACAAUAUAUAUAUUAAAUAUAUAUGCAUCGGGACUCUACAAUCAUGUUAAAAAGUAGAACAAUUAAUAAGAGUACUUUUGGAAAAAUAACAUUAAAUGAAAUUGAUUUUGAUAACUUUUG
rnacentral:lncRNA from 1 species